rnacentral:rRNA from 1 species
AGUGAACGCUGGCGGUAGGCCUAACACAUGCAAGUCGAACGGCAGCACAGUAAGACCUUGCUCUUACGGGUGGCGAGUCGGGGACGGGAGAGGAAUACAUCGGAAUCUAUUUUUUCGUGGGGGAUGACGUAGAGACACUUACGAUAAUACCGCAUCCGAGCUACAGGUGAAAGCAGGGGAUCUUGGCAUCUUGCGCGAUGGAAUGAGCCGAUGUUGGAUUAGCGAGUUGGCGGGGUAAAGGCCCACCAAGGGGACGAUCCGUAGCUGGUCUGAGAGGAUGAUCAGCCACACUGGAACUGAGACACGGUCCAGACUCCUACGGGAGGCAGCAGUGGGGAAUAUUGGACAAUGGGCGCAAGCCUGAUCCAGCCAUGCCGCGUGGAUGAAGAAGGCCUUCGGGUUGUAAAGUUCUUUUGUUGGGAAAGAAAAGCAGCAGGUUAAUACCGCGCUGUUCUGACGUUACCCAAAGAAGAAGCACCGGCUAACUUCGUG